AGUGAACGCUGGCGGUAUGCCUAACACAUGCAAGUCGAACGGCAGCACAGUAAGAGCUUGCUCUUACGGGUGGCGAGUGGCGGACGGGUGAGGAAUACAUCGGAAUCUACUUUUUCGUGGGGGAUAACGUAGGGAAACUUACGCUAAUACCGCAUACGACCUACGGGUGAAAGCAGGGGAUCUUCGGACCUUGCGCGAUUGAAUGAGCCGAUGUCGGAUUAGCUAGUUGGCGGGGUCAAGGCCCACCAAGGCGACGAUCCGUAGCUGGUCUGAGAGGAUGAUCAGCCACACUGGAACUGAGACACGGUCCAGACUCCUACGGGAGGCAGCAGUGGGGAAUAUUGGACAAUGGGCGCAAGCCUGAUCCAGCCAUACCGCGUGGGUGAAGAAGGCCUUCGGGUUGUAAAGCCCUUUUGUUGGGAAAGAAAAGCAGCAGGUUAAUACCCCGCUGUUCUGACGGUACCCAAAGAAUAAGCACCGGCUAACUUCGUG
rnacentral:rRNA from 1 species